CAAAAUUUUAUUAGAGCUGGGAUUAUUUAUCUGUGUUCUAGUACUUUGAGCAUCUUACUAUACACUCGUCUAUAAAAUUUUAACAUUAAUUUUUACUACUCAUCGAAAUAUCAAAAUAGUCCUUACUAAACAUCUCUCAUUAAUGUUCUGUAACGUAUGUGAAAAAAAAAUAAUAAUAAUAAGAGGAAGCUGGGUAAUGUUUUAUGGGCGAGAGGGAUAGAGGAAGCUGUCAAACCGACCCGGAAAACCCGACCCAAAACUGCGAACCCGACCCAGACAUAUCUCCGAUUUUCGGCCACCUCACCGGCCAUGGAUGGUAGCAACGAAAGCUCCUGAGCCAGCCAUCACUUUCCCACCGUCACUGUCGCCAAAAACCAACCGAAACGCCGCCGUUUGAAGCGCGAAUAGUCGCAGCCAAAACCUAUCACGACCGUCGUUGAUUCCGUCGGAAUUAGGCCAUGCCAGACGGAGAAAUGGUAGGGGGUAAACAGAGUUUGUAACGGAGGUGGGGUAAAUGGAGGAUGAUGUAGAGAGGGCAACCAACGGCCAUGAUGAGGGAGAGGAGGAGGAGGAGGAGGAGGAGGGUGAGGUUAUGGACGGCUGUGAUGGGCUUGAGGAUGUGGGGUCCAAUGAGAGGUGAUGAUGGUGGUGAUGUUGAUGUUGAUGUGUGGUAGAGGAUGAAUGUGAGGGAAAGGUAAGUGAGGAUGGAGAGAUACGUAACUAUUAUUUAUUGAAAAUUAAUUCUUUAAAUACUUUAAAAUGUAAAAUUAUUAAAUAAAAAUUCAUUCUAUUGUUGUUAAUUCACAAAAUUUUAAUUCAAUUAUAACAUUUCUACUUAUUUUUUUAAGUUAAAUUAUAUCUUUUUUAUUUUUUUUUCUAAAUUAAACUAAUUUUUCUAUUCUUCUAUUGUCUAAAGUUUUUCGACAUAGUUUUAUUUCAAAAUAGAUAAAACAAGCACAAAAAAAAGUGAUGAAUAAAAGAAUAUAUUAAAAAGAAAUAAGAACAAAUAACAACACAACUAAUUAAGAGAAUAAUAAAAAGAUAAAAUCAUAAAUUUGAGAUGAAAUCAUAAAUUAACUUAUAUUUAUAUUAAGGCUAUUGUUUGAAAAUUUGAGUAACGACCAAUAGUCAUAGAAAAUAGAGAAAACUAUUAGAUUUUUUCUUUUUCUUCUAUAGUAAAAAGUAGAGGAAGCAAGAUUUUUUCCCCUCUCUCUCUUUCUUUCUCUCAAACACCAAGAUGUCUUCAUUAUUGGAGGAAAAAUUUAAUGGAUAAGUAAUAAAAUGUAGGGCUUUUAUAGAGGUUCAAAAUAAAUAUAAAACUUUUGAAAUAUAACUUAUUAAUUUUAACAAUGAAAUAGAUAAUUUUUAGGAUUGAAACGAUUAAUUUAUUGGUUUUGUAGAAAUUAAAACAAUUAAGUACUACAUUAAAUACACUUUAUAGGAAUUUGAUAGUUUAUUUAGAAAAAAGAUAAUUACAAAAUAAUAAUAAAUUAAAUGAAUAAUAAUGACUUUUAAAUUCAUUUUCCUCUUUUAUAUACAAAAUAAUCAUCUCAUAGGACUUUUAUAUAAAGUGGAGUUCUAUGCAACUGCCUAAGUUGCCUAGAGGUCGAGCCGCUACUGAUUACAAGCCAAUAUUGGAGUGUUGAGGUAACUAGAUAUGAAGCCAUGGCUGGUUUUUGGGGGAGAAAGAUUUGGAAGAGAUUAUGUUGAGAGGAACGGGGGAGUUCAUAAAGUUUUAGGAUAAUGUGGAGGGUAUUUUGGACAUAUUACCGUCUUAGCUUAAAUUUUGGGAAAAAGAUAAUCAAUAAUAAACUAUUUUUUCAUAUCAAUUUAAAACUCCGAGUGUGUCUCCAAAAAUUGUUUUCUUUUUUUUAUUAUUUUGGAUUUUAAAUCUUAAAUUUAGUAAAGGAAGUUAAAUCAAGUGAUCACUUUUUUUUUUCAUGCAAAGCAAUUAAUCUUUUUUGUAAUUUAAGCAAAUAUUGGGUUGCGUACUUUAACAAUAUUAAUAUUUGAUUCGAAAUUUCAUCUACCGAAACUACAAAAAUUAUUAUUUUCUAUUAAAUCAAAAACAAAAUUAAGAAAUAACUUAUUAUCUGCCAACUGUCAUUCAACAAAGCCAUCACUCAUGCAAAAAAGGGAAAAAAAAAGUGAUAUAUUCAUUUUAACGUAAUUUCAUACCAACAUAUCAUCCUUUUCUUUUGAACAAUGACCUCUUCAAUAAUAAAAUAUGGUAAAAGAGGAUGGGUUUCAGGUCUGGCGUCCGGGCCUUGGUGACAAUGGCAUCUUCUGCUCAAUCAAACUUGUGGAUUACGUGCACUCAACGUCGACAAUAUGGAAAUGGGAGAAAAUUAUGUUGAGUAACAUCUUGUAUGGUCAACGCGUCGAGUAUGGACUUGCAUGAUCGAGUCAGUACAACUAAAGUCGGGUAGAGUUUGGUAAAUCUCUAUAUUGGCUUGAGGUUGGACAACUAUACCUUUUAAGCUACAUAUUUAAACAAUUUUAGUAAAUAUUUACUAUUUUGAUUUAAAAAUUAAUUUGAUUUGAUCUCAUAUUUUAUUAUUAAAAAAUUUAUAAUAUCUUUAAUAAUUUUAUUAAAUUAUUAUUUAAAAGUCAUACAUUUACUGCACAUUAUCAACUUUCUGCUAUUUUUUUUGUUCUCACAACAGCUAGUAAUAUCAAACAAGAGCUAAGUUAAGUAUGAUCAAUUAAUUAAAGUUUUGAUUUUUUGUAUAAAAUAAUCCUUAGAUAAUUAGUCUAUAUAGAAUAUUGGCUACUUCAAAUGGAAACUUGUGAUCAAAAGUGUAAUUCCCUCUAUCAGUGAACUAUACUUGCCAGGAAAUUAACCCCAGGCGAGUACCACCACCUCCUACUAUUUCUUAGGUGUCUCAGAGUUUGAUGAGGACUUCCAUGACGUGUCUCUUCGACAGGCAGCGAAAUUGGGCAAUUGACUACAUUAACUCCAACAAAUUUAUGCAGUCACCUUCCUCCGGACUAUCCUCUUUCUUCGCGCUUUAGUUGCCCUUAUUUCCCCUUUAAUACAGUCAACAUUAUCUUGUUUGAUGCCAAGGAGACCAAGCCCAGAAACAAUGGCAUUCUUUGAUAUCAACCACCUGGGGACUUUUGAGCUGAGCCAUGACAUCCUGAGAUGGCCUGUUGUGUAAGCCUUCUUCAAAAGGUCAUCCGUUAAUCUUUCUCCUAAUUAGACAUUCAAAACCCUGCAUGGAAUCGAUUUGAGAAGUUGGACAAUAGACAAACUCCAACACAUAUAGACAGUAAAGAAGAAUUUAGACCGCAAUCACUGUGGCUCAACAAAUGGGCCUAUUAAAGCCUAUUAAAAGUUGGAACCAUAUUCACCACUCGCAUUUCCUUAAGAGAGCUAUACCAGAAUUCUGUAAAUUUAAAACUUUUCUUACAUAAUUAACUGUAAAACAAGAGAAAUUGUACUUCCGUAGCAAAGUCUCACUAUUGGUAAGUAUCUGGACUUGGAAAGGAUGCUAGUUGAUGAAGUAAAGGAAAAUUGAAAUCAGACUUUGAGGUGACAGAUCUAUACACUUCAAUAGGAACCACAUUGACAUCAUAUGAGACAAAUAAACAUUCCCCAGUCAAAGUUUAACAAACAAAACAUUAAAACAAGAGUAGGUUGGUCUAUCAAUGUAUAUAUAGACAUGUCGAUCAAUAGACAAAUACGUAAAAGAGGGAGGGAGAGACCUCAAAGCCGUGCUACUCCAAUAACUUCAAAAUUGUUCGUGACCACUCUAUCAAAUCCACGCAAUAGUUGCAUACACUCACCGAUGGGUUUGUCACAGAUAACCUGUUAGGCAUUAAAAAUUGCCCAAAUUAAACAAAUGUUAGACCAGCUUAGACAGUAAACGGAACAAUAUUCUAAUUUUACUUUAUUUAUAACGAAUAAGUGAACAAAGGAAUAAAAAGGAAUUUUGGCAAAGAAUCCUGCAGCUAAUCCCACCAUACACCGCUCUGCAGGCUUAUUUGGGAGUCAAAAUUCUCAAAAUGUACUAAGAAAUGACAUUUGUUCACUAAUCCCACCAACAAGGAGGAAGUGACGUGAAGAGAAUUUACUAAGAAAUGCCAGUGUAUUAAUAUUGAAGGAAAACAUUCACUGACGACCAAAAUCGCUGAUAUAUGCUUAAUUUCUCACUCACUAAGAACGUUCAAUUCAUUCAAAUGAAACUUCCACAGGAAGGUCUCAUUAUUAAGGCUUUAGCUUCACCUCACAUGCUCAACAAUUCAAAUUUGAGGAUGAUAUUUCUCCAAAUGGAGGGCUCUAUUUGGCUUGCCAACAAUCUUCCUCACAACUAUCAUCCUUGCUAUAUCGGUUGCACUGAGCAAUCUUCAUUCUGACAUUUGCCCUAUUAACCUGAGUACACAAGAAUCCGAAACAACUGUUAGAAAUUUUAAUCUUUAUAUACAGCCAAAAUGGUGAAUAAGAUGAUGUACUGAUAAUAAAUACCUGAGUUAAUAAAUAAUUAAGGGGCCGGUAACAAUCUCAGCAUCUUAUCAAGUGGGGAAAGCCUUCGCAACGAAGAUGCUGCUUGCUUUCAAGCAAUAAUAACUUUCCAAUUCCAUAAGAUAGCUUAAUGCCCUUUUAAGAAUAUCUCCACCAGCCUAACAAUUAUUCAUGGAAAUCCAAUUUGCAUUUGUCGCCUUCAAUUUUCUCAUCUUUGUCUAGAGUAUUGUUUUUGCAUUAACUUAGCUAGCUUGCAAACCACCUGCAGAUGGUUUUAAAUAAUGUGUGAGAGUGUGAAUUCAAACGAAUUAAUUAAAUAUGAUGACAGGAGAAACAAAAUUAAAAUAACCACAAGAAGUAGAAAUAUACUUUUGUUAUAUUCAGAGCAUCUCCUACUGUCUUCAUUUCCCUUAGCUCUGUUUCCUUUUGAGCUCGAACGCAAUGCCUCAAGGCUCAAGAUAAUUUGAUGACCAUCAAUCUUUUUGCAGCCACAUGUAGACUUGAAAAACUGUUGGCGGCCCUAAAGAACUUGAAAAUUAGAAAAGAUUCAGAAUGAGUGACUAAAUAUUAUAAUCAAAACUAAUUAAACAAACGCGCCUUGAAAAUCUGAAACUGAAUUAAUCAAAUGUAUAUGCCCCUUCACUGCAAUUGCACGUGGUGGAAAUUUUACUGCGAAGACUUUCUCAAACCUUGAAGAUCACACUCGGCCUGACAACAAAGAAACAAAGUCAAUAUACGAAGAUGAUUUUACUAACAAGUGAGAGCUUACAAAUAUUUGAAGGAUAACGAUCACUCAUAACCCAUAUCCCCAGUAUUCCCUAAUAUUUCACUCAAGUGGGUUCAAGCUCCCAAAAUUCACUACAGUGAAAUGUCAAAACAAAACUCUCUUCUCAAAUUUGAUGAUGAUAUCUCUCGAAGGGAGGCAAAAGAAUCUAACACUGAUCAAAUUGGCUUGUGAACAAUUAAUCUUCCUCGCCAUCAUUCAUACCAGGUGCGGUGAACAAUCUUCAUUCUGACAUUUGCCUUAAUAAGCUGCUUAGUAACCUUAACCUGAUAACUCACACAAACAAAAACAACUUGCCUAAAGUUUAAUAUUUCGAGCAGAACAGUAAAGAAGAUGAUAUCUAUUGAUGCUAAAAUUUGACCUGUGUUACCCUGAUGUCAAAAGUCAUAGCAUCUCAUGUGGGCAAAAUCUUCGCAACACGAGAUGCUUGCAAAAUUGGAGCAGCAUCUUAUCACCUGUAAUUUAAUUGAGACAAUAACUUUCCCCAACCAUUUCAAUGCAUUAUUGGCAACUAAAUUCAGAGGGUGCUAAUUAAAUACCCUUUUAACAAUAUCUUCUUAUUCUUCUUCAAUCUAACAAUUAUUUGGAAAAUCUAAAUGACAAUCAUGCAUCGAUGGCAUGAAAAUUUGGCUACAAAGUAGCCUGGAAAAGGCUGCUCUCUGAAUGAGAGCAUGAAUUCAAACAAAUAUGAUGAAUGAAUAAAUAAAGGCAUAAUACCACAAGAAGUAAAACUUUUCCCCAGAUUUCUGUUUCUGUUUGUGCUAAAACCAAUGGAAACCGAUGGAAAUGAAUUUCUACGAAUUAGACAUAUCAGCCAAAACAGGUACUCCGUACAAGCAAAGUAAAAGAGGGUUACAAAAAAUUUUAAUAUUGAUAUGAUAAUUAAAAUUAUAAUGAAAAUUUCAGUUACCAUAUAAUUAAUAGAUAACUCUGUACACAAUGAUUUAUUGCAUAUUAAGAUUGUAUACCUGAAUUUUAAUUGCUAUACAAAAUAUGGUAGUAUCAUUAGGAGACCGCACCAAAUGUACCGAAUUGAAUGUGCCUUUUCACAGCCAUUGUACAAGCUUUGAAGCUUUACCACAAAUGCUUUCUCAAACCCGUGAUCAUGAUGCACCCGAGAGAUGCAAGAUAUGAAAUUGUUACUACAGCAGGCAAUAACCACAGUGUUAAAACAAAUGUUUAUACAGGAUAAAUGAUUCCAAGAAUGAAACAAGAUAGCAAUGAUGAUCUCAGCACCUUAACAUCACGCAAUAAUAAUCAUCAUGUCUUUCAAGCAGCUAUCCAUCCUCAAUUGAAACAGAGCAGAUCCGGCCAUCACUUCCUUCUUCAAAGUCCAGCAACCAAACGUUGCACAAUAACCACAGUGAUAAUCCUUGGUUACCCCAAUGUUCUCCAUAGAGUCUCCAAAGUCAAUCUAAAAAUGAAAUGCAGGUGGAAAUCAAAAUUCUAUUAACUAAAUAAAAUAUAAAGUGCAAUGCUUGUGCUUGAGCUUGCUUUAACAUCAUCAUAAUAGCGAAUUUUGAUACACCUUUACUUCUCUGUGGUUCAAUCAUUUACUUCCCUGUUCUUGUUUAUUCACAACAAGAUAUCAAUAGAAGAUGAUGGAAAUGAAAUUCUAUAAAAUAAAGCAAGUGAAUUACCAGUAGACCAUUUUAGCAAUCCUUUGGCUAAACUUUUCAUUUUCUUAGCACACUGUCCUGCAGUACUGCCUGCAUCAUUAAAACCAAAUUAGAUUGGACCUGUGAAUUGCUAGUGUGGUUCUGACAUUUCCUCGAAUCCCUGGUGAACAUAAUUAAACUCGUAUGAAAUAAAACAAAGUGGGCUAAUGUACUACUAAAAACAAUUACACAAUUACUUUAAAGAAUUAAUGUCACAUAAAUUAUAUAUAAAAAAAUACGAUUAUCAUUAUACAAGAUAAAAUUGAUAAUUUAGUUUUCGACAUUACUGCAAAUGUAUGAAGGAGAUUUUGUCACUCAGGAAGUUACACAUAACAAAUUUCCGUACAUUAAAAAAUAAAUUACAUUGGGAUUUUCUAUGAUGUUGUAUGAAAUUUUACAAAAAAGCACAUAUUUUUUAAAAGUAAAUAAAUAUAGAAAUUUCAACAGACUAAACUUGUAUUUUUUUUUUAUUUAAUCUUUAGAAAACAAGUUUAACAUAUUUGAUAACUAGGAAGUUUUACAUAUUUAUACCAUGAUUGAUUCUAUAUAGAAUUAUUAAAUAAUAAAGUAAUGCCAUAAUCUAAUUGGUCUUGUUAUUGACAUGUACUCACGCAUUCUAUAUUUCUAACUUUGUACAUUUUAUUGAUAUGUACAAAUUGUCAAUGUUUGCAGUGUCGUUGUUUGAAGUAACAACAAAGUAAAAUAGAGGUGAGAAAUUACCGGUGGGUGAUAGUAAUUGCAACCAUUCGAGAAUUUACCACUCGGACUCGAUGUAGGGAAUGUGAGAUAUCUUAUGCCAGUCUUCUCCUUCCCCCUCUCUAUAACGGUUUUCCAGAAGAGGACAUCUGUGAAUAAUCAAUUCCUGCAGCGUCGUCGUCCGAAGAAGGUAAUCCGGCAGCACCUUUAAUUUGGGGCAAUACCCAAUUUCCAAGGAAGAAAGACGUGGUAUGUCUGUUGUCUUGCGAUCUUCUAGAAUGGGCAGUUCUUCUAGAAGAUCACAAAAAUAAAUACGCAGUUCCUGCAGUGCCGUCGAUUGAAGAAGGUAAUCCGGCAGCGCCUUCAAUUUGGGGCAACCUCUAAUCCACAAGGAAGAAAGACGGGGCAUGAUGGAGAUGUUUUCCUUCCUCGUAAUCCUGUAAUUCCACUCUUCCAACUCUUCCAUUCCCCCAAUGUCGAGUGAUUUUAAUUUGGGAAAGGCAGUAACUGAUGAUGACGAUGAAGAUGAAGAUGGGUCAUCCUCACUGCUUUCUUCUAUUCCCAAAAACUCAUUACCCACUCUUUUUACACUUUUCAAAAUGUAUAGUUGGAGUUUUUCCAGAGGUAAUUUUCCCAAAGGAGGCAAAUGCUCACAGUUAAAACAAAACCAAAGAUUUAAUUCCCUUAGAUAGGUUAGUGAAGUCAACCAUUUGGGAAAAAUGUCGCCUCCGUAGAAACAAAUCUGUAAUUCCUCUACAUUCAAAUGCGGUUGUAAAGCUUCAAGAAGUUGUUUAUCUUUCUCAUUCUUCCUCCUCCCUUCUUCGCCUUCCCCAUCUACGACUCCAUCAAACACAAGAUGCAAACGAAGGAGGUUUUCCAUAUUGUGAAGUCCUAUUCUCUCAGCCUCAUCUAAAUGUGAUACAUUACUCAGCCCUUCUAUUCCACAUUUACGAAGGAGUUGAAGAUUUUUCAGAGAUUCAAGCCUACACGUGCUGCCGCCAUCAACACCUCCACCCACAACAAACUUUUCUAAUGUUCGAAGACUGGUUAAUUUGGAAAUCCCUAUUGGCAUGUACUUCAAUGAAUAAGUUUGACCAUUCAGUAAACUCCUCAUGUUCAUUAACUUCCCAAUCCCCGCUGGCAAUUCUCUAAGAUUUGGGCACCGCCUAAUAUCUAGCUUUCGUAAAUUAUAUAAUUCACACAAAGUCUCAGGCAGUCUCUCUAUACAUAAUUCAGAUAAAUUAAGAUAUUUUAAAUGUAUCAAUUUUCCAAUAUUUUCUGGAAUUUCUCUAAUGAAAUUUGGGCUAGGAUGAGAAAAUGAGGACAACUGUCUUAUAACUAAUGCCCUUAAACACGCCAAUUUACUAAAUAACCCCGGAAGGAUGCUACUACGAAGAGACGGACCUUUAUCAUAAAUUAAGAGGGUCCGCAAUCUAUUAAGUCCAUAAAUGGACAUAGGAAGUGGAGCGCCUCCUUCAAAAUUUAAUCCUAGGUGACAGACUUUGUCACCAAAAGAAUUUAUGACUGACUCUUUGUUACCAUCAAUUUCUAGCCACAAACAUUCUUUUCUACUUACAAAUUGGGCAAAAUCAUGUACUAUGUCAUGCAUUUUACACCUCAUAAACUCAUUAUCGCCACCGUAUGUUUCAAACUCUUGAAAGAAAGAGUGUGUUGCUAAGAUGUUGAAAUACUCUUCUCCAACCAUCUCCAUUUCUUCGUCUUCUUCUGCAUUAAGGUAACCUUGAGCCAUCCACAUAUCAAUCAAUUCCUUUUUAUGCAUAUAGUGGUCUUUUGGAAAGACAGCACAAUAUGAGAAACAUUGUUUUACCAUAGAAUUAGAGGGCAAAUCGUUAUAACUCAACAACAAAGGAGCCAAAAGACCUUUCCUAAUCUCUUCUACCUUCCACAUUUCACUCUCUAAAAUUCUUUGCCACUCUUUUACUGUACAUUUAGAGCGCAAGAGAUUCCCUAUUACCUUUACAGCAAGAGGCAGGCCUUUGCACUUGCGUGCAAUUUUUCGUCCGAUUGGUUCUAAUUUUUCACAAUCCUCGAAAGAGCGACCGAAAAAUGCCAACCGCUUGAACAACAACCAGCAUUCCUCUUCAGCUAGUUGUUCAAUGGAGAUAAUAUCUAACUCUAUUGUUCGCAUCAUACGUGCAACUGACUCAUUACGUGUGGUAACCACAAUUUUACUUCCAGGAAGACCAUUCUUUAGACAAAAGAAGAAUUGAUCCCAUAUAUUAUAAUUCCCAUCCCAUACAUCAUCUAAGACAAUAAAAAUUUUUUUUCCUUCAAUUGAUCUAUGGAUAUGGCUCAUAAGAGAUUGGAAUUCGCUUAAACCAGAAGCUUCUUUUGACUCGCCUAGUCCUUCAAUAAUUGCUUUGGCGACCCUCAUCUCAUCAAAAGUGUCUGAUACACACACCCAUAUAACUUUUUCAAAAUUUAUUUUCACCCCAUCAUUAUUAUAGGCUAGUUGUGCAAGAGUGGUUUUACCUAUACCCCCUAACCCAACCAGUGAGAUGAUAUGAGGAUGUUGUUCGCCACUCUCACCCAACAACUUACCUAACAGCUCAUUUUUCUCGUCAUCUCUACCAAAAAUCUCUCCCUCAUCAAUCAAGGAGGUGGUUGGCACUCGCUCUGAUUUCUUAACAUUGUUACUCACAUUCUCAACAAAUUUAAACAUAUCUUUUCGAGUGGCAAUACCAUCUAGCUUUUCACUGAUUUCGCUAAUCUUGACAGCAACAUCAUCACGAAGAAUGAGUUGUUUGAAACCACCUAAGUAGUUUGAGGCAGCACGAAAGAAGGAACAUACCUUCUUCUUAGGAGGAGCAAGAGCAAGAGCAUCGUCAUCAUCGCCGCCCUCAUCAAGCUGCAAUUUCCGUGUUUCAGUGAUCCACUCUUCCAACACAUCUUCCAUGUCGUAGGAUGCGUCUCUGAGCUGAUCCAGCCAAAGAGUAACAGCUUUGUCCUGCUUCAUUUGCCUCUGCUCUGCAUCUUACAGUACAGCUUGAAUGACUUGAAGAUUGGUAGUAAGCUUUCCCACUUCUUGUUCGACACCCGUCACAAGCCUCCACUUUUCUUUCACCUGAUCUUGAGCAAUGGAUUUCAGCUGGUCCAGGAGAGAGGAAACGAUCGCAUGAGCCAUUCAGAGGAAAGUAGGUUUUAUGUAUUCUGUGAGAAUGUUCAUUCAAGCAUGUUUGCAUUCUUCUUAUACCAUAUGAGAUAUUUAAUUUUUACCCUCGAGUCAAUGUCAAUAAUUGUACAGCGUCUGCCCUGUUUCUCUGAUUCAUAAUAAUUCAUUGUUAAUUCUGCAGAGUACACAGCGUCAGCACUUGUGAAAUUUCUUACAUUUGUAAAAUCAUGCAGCCGACCCUUGUGAACUAACUAAUUAACUAAAUUUUCUUACAUUGUCAAUAAGUUAUGAUUAUUGUGAAUUUUCCAUCCCCUAUAUAAAUUCUUAGAUUUAUUUAAAUUGUGAGUCAUAGAAGUAUAUUACCUAAAUUAUUUUAUCAGGCCAUGUUCCGAUACUAGGAGUAAGUACGGAAUUGGACUAAUUUUGUGAUUAUCUAUUUAUCUCAUAUUUGAUAAGCUUAAUUGAAUUGGAUUUAGGAACCAAAUUUAAAUUUAAUCCUAAAAUUAUGGAAUUGAUAAUCCUAAUUUACGCAUAACUUUAGUUGGGAUAAAAUUAAAGAAAAAAAGUUAUCCAUUUAUGAGACUUUAAUUUAUAUCAUUAUCGUUUAUUUAUGCUUAAUAUUUAUUUAUUUUUUUUAAUUUAUGAUUUACUUAAAAUUUAUUUUUAUUUAUUAUCUAUCAUCUGAUUAAAUUAGAACUUUACUUCUACUAACUCUUGAUAUUAAUUUUUCAUUACUUGCAUAUUUGAUAAUUUGUCAAUAAAAUUAACCAUUUAAUAAUUUAUUGCAUAAUAGAUUGUAUUAAACUUACUAAUCACUAAAAAAAUAUUUAAAAUCAUCAUGAAAAUUAAUAAUACCGUCAAUUAAUUGAUUUUAUAUACUUUUUUAAAUAUUUGAUAAAAAAUAAUUAAGUAUUUAAAUUUUUAUUUCAUUUUUUUAUUUGUUUAUUUUAUUAUGGAUACCCAAUAACUUGCAAUAUAAUUAAUUUUCUUAUUCAGACUACUCAGCAUCAGCUCCUAUAAAAUUUCUUACAUUAUAAGCAACAAAAUAUUUAUAAACUACAACAAAGGGCUUAAAUCAAUCCACCGAUUAACCUUUUGAAGUUAUAUAUAAUAUAUUAACUGUUGAUCUAGAAUAGUCUUAGUGGAUAGAUUUUUUUUAAUUAUAAAUAUCAAUAAAUUUUUUUUAUCGUUUAAUAGAUAUUGAUGAAAUUAUAUGGAGUAAUUUCGCCCAAUCAUAUAUAUUAUAACAAAAGUUGGAAAAGAGAAAAAUAAAACAAAAGUUGGAAAAAUCAUGCAGUCGUUGGGAAUUUCGAAAUUUGAGAAUUUUGCCCGUAGCUACAGGCUGCAGCGAUUUUUGACUUUCAUGAUGCAAACAAACCAAUCAUCAUUAAUUUCAAUAGAAAGAAGUAUUCUAGGUGGAAUUGAUUUCUGGAGCAGAAUAUGAUGUAUUUGGGACUUCCUACUCUAUUAGAUAGGUUAAUAACAUGUUAAUUGUCACAUCAUUAAUUUUAGAUUAUAAAUUUUAUAUUCAAACUUUGUAUGACUGCUCCUUUUUCAUUUGAAAAAAAAAAAAAAAAUUAACUUCUAGCAUGAUCUAAUUAAUUGAUCUUGUUUCAAAAGAAUCAAAAAAAUAAAUAAAAUAAAAUAAAGUAAUGCCAUAAUCUAAUUGGUCUUGUUAUUGACAUGUACUAAUGCAUUCUAUAUUUCUAACUUUGUACAUUUUAUUGAUAUGUUUCUCUUGAGAGAUAAGAAUCAUUAUGUGGCAAAAUUUUAUUAAAGCUGGGAUUAUUUAUGUUCUAAUACUUUGAACAUUAAUUUUUAAUCUACUCUUUAGAAUACAAAAAUAAUCCUUACCUAAACAUCUUUCAUAAAUGUUUUUUGCUGGGGCUGCUAAAAUUCAUAAUCUAAUAUUAGUUGAUGUGGCAUGUGUCCUAUCACAUAAAUGUAGAUAAUAAUAAUUAAUUCAUUAACAAAAUGAAAAAUGUUAGUUUACAAAAUACAAAUCCGAAUUUUUUGUGUGUUAGAGGGAAUUUAAAAGGGAGAGACUAAACAAAUGUGGUGACAAAUUACACGUAUUACCAAAAUUGAAAAUACAAAGUUUAGGCAACUGGAAACAUCUCUGUCAAUGGCAAUGAACCCAUUACCUCCAUUUAUAAUUAACCAAAAAUCAAAUAAAUUAAAAAAGAAAACACAAAGCAAGGAUAACUACUAGUUGUUUUGAUCAUCCCUGCUUCUUUUUCUUAGCAUAGCUCUUGUAAUGAAAAUUAACAAAAAGGGCCAAAAGGGAAGCAUUAAACACAGUAUUGAAGCACCAACCCCAAAACACAGGGAAACCAAAUCCCGUGAAAUGAUAAUUCAGCAUCAAAAUGAAAAAUGUUAUGGAUGGCUGUGAUGGGUCUGAGGAUGUGGGGUCCAAUGAGAGGUGAUGAUGAUGGUGAUGUUGAUGUUGAUGUGUGGUAGAGGAUGGAUGUGAGGGAGAGGUAAGUAAUGAUGGAGUGAAUGAGGAUGCGUGGGAAGGAAGCUAGGGUUUGGUUUUGAGUCCAUGUGAAGUUGAGGACUUGUGGGUGGCUUACAAGCAAUAUUGGAGUGUUAAGCUGAUUGAAUUUGAACAGUGCUACUCCAAUAACAUCAAUAUGGUUGAUG
rnacentral:lncRNA from 1 species